UAGUGGCGCACGGGAUGCGUAACGCGUGGGAAUCUGCCCCUUGGUUCGGAAUAACAGUUGGAAACGACUGCUAAUACCGGAUGAUGACGUAAGUCCAAAGAUUUAUCGCCGAGGGAUGAGCCCGCGUAGGAUUAGGUAGUUGGUGUGGUAAAGGCGCACCAAGCCGACGAUCCUUAGCUGGUCUGAGAGGAUGAUCAGCCACACUGGGACUGAGACACGGCCCAGACUCCUACGGGAGGCAGCAGUGGGGAAUAUUGGACAAUGGGCGAAAGCCUGAUCCAGCAAUGCCGCGUGAGUGAUGAAGGCCUUAGGGUUGUAAAGCUCUUUUACCCGGGAUGAUAAUGACAGUACCGGGAGAAUAAGCUCCGGCUAACUCCGUGCCAGCAGCCGCGGUAAUACGGAGGGAGCUAGCGUUAUUCGGAAUUACUGGGCGUAAAGCGCACGUAGGCGGCUUUGUAAGUAAGAGGUGAAAGCCCAGAGCUCAACUCUGGAAUUGCCUUUUAGACUGCAUCGCUUGAAUCAUGGAGAGGUCAGUGGAAUUCCGAGUGUAGAGGUGAAAUUCGUAGAUAUUCGG
rnacentral:rRNA from 1 species